rnacentral:rRNA from 1 species
UACGGAGGGAGCUAGCGUUGUUCGGAAUUACUGGGCGUAAAGCGCACGUAGGCGGCUUUGUAAGUUAGAGGUGAAAGCCCGGGGCUCAACCCCGGAAUUGCCUUUAAGACUGCAUCGCUUGAAUCCAGGAGAGGUGAGUGGAAUUCCGAGUGUAGAGGUGAAAUUCGUAGAUAUUCGGAAGAACACCAGUGGCGAAGGACGGCUCGCUGGGACUGGUA